GAAUCAGCUCAGUGGAUCCCUCGGCUCGUGGGUCGAUGAAAAACGCAGCAAAAAUGCGCGUUGUCAUGUGAACUGCAGGACACAUGAACGUCGACACUUUGAACGCAAAUGGCGGCCCUCG
rnacentral:rRNA from 1 species